AGAAGAAAGACAUCGAUGCGGAUGUCUUCUCCUUUUCGGCGGCGGGAAAUCGAUAAAUGUUUUUUGGGAGCAAAAGAAAUGCAAAAUCUGUCUGUCUCCCUCCAAAACAAAUCCCAUAAACCUUCACCCUGUCUUUGUCUCUUAAAUUAAAAAAAAAAAAAAAAUCAUUUGAUCAAGAGGAAAGCGAGGGAGCAAAAGCAAAUCAAUUGUUUUGCUCUCUCUACAAAAAUGUCAAUUUUGCAAAAACCCAAGCUCCAAGAAGAAGAAGAUGUAGACAUUAACAACAUCGAUCACGCCGCAACCGCUACUCCGCUCCGCUACGUGUCACUGGAGCGAGUUUACUCAGUUAGCGCUUCCAAUGUCAUGUCCAAGAAAGUUAAAGCCAGAAAGCUUCACCCCGACCUCCAUACUCAUCCCCCCAUUCUUCAUGUUUACUCCCGUAAGACGCAACAUUCCCCUCACACGCCCUCCUUUUAUGACAGGCUGCUUGCGCAAACGGCUGUUAAGACUGAAAUUUUGGAUGCCAUUGAGGUUAAGGUGAAGAAAAGGAGGAGAAUUGGGACUACUGAGCUGCUCAAUUUAGGGAUUCGCGAUAAUCAUGAUUCUUCUAGGGUUUUCACUGCUCCAAGGUUGAGAGAUUCUCGCAAUUUUACUGCUAAUCUUAAUACUAAUAAUGGGAGUUUAAACAGAAAGAAGAAGAAACCCUUACACAAUUCUCAUCAAAUUAUGUCUUCCUCUCCUGCUACUAAAAAAUGGGUCAGGUUAAAAGUGGAUGGCGUUGAUCCAAAAAGGUUCAUUGGUUUGACAUGCAAGGUUUUUUGGCCAUUGGAUGCUGACUGGUAUUCUGGACGUGUUGUUGGCUACACAUCGGAGACUAAACAGCAUCAUGUUGAAUAUCAAGAUGGAGAUAAAGAGCAUUUGAAUCUUUCAAAUGAGAAAAUUAGUUUUUGUAUUUCUCGUGAGGAGAUGGAGCAGUUGGAUUUGAGUCUUAGUGUAAAAAGUUUAGAUGGCGAUAGCUAUGAUUUUGACGAGAUGGUUGCAUUAGCUGCUGUUUUGGAUGACUGCCAAGAUCUCAAGCCUGGGGAUAUUAUAUGGGCAAAACUUACUGGUCAUGCCAUGUGGCCAGCAAUUGUUGUUAAUAAAUCACUUAUUGGGGAGCACAAAGGCCUAAAUAAAAAUUCUGGAGAAAGAUUUGUGUUUGUGCAGUUCUUUGGUACUCAUGAUUUUGCAAGAAUUAAACCGAAGCAAGUGAUCUCAUUUCUUAGAGGACUGCUUUCUUCUUUUCACCUUAAGUGCAAGAAACCCCAUUUCAAUCAAAGCAUGGAAGAAGCGAAAAUGUAUCUGAGUGCACAAAAGCUUCCAAGAAGAAUGCUACAGCUCCAAAAUAGCAUGAAUGCUGGUAGCUGCAAGAGUGCAAGCAGUGAGGAUGAAGGAAGUACAGAUUCAGGGGAAGACUGCAUAGAAAAUGAAGCAAUGCAAAGAAUACUGAAGGGUCUUGAAACUUCUCCAUACGUGAUUGGGGACUUGCAAAUAAUUAGACUUGGGAAAAUUGUUAAGGACUCAGAAUAUUUUCAGGAUGAUAAAUUUAUCUGGCCUGAAGGCUACGUUGCCCUGAGGAAGUUCACUUCAGUAACAGAUCCAAAUGCAUGUACGGUUUAUAAGAUGGAAGUACUCAGAGAUGCUGAGUCUAAGAUUCGGCCUCUCUUUAGAGUGACAUCGGAUAACGGAGAGCAGAUCAGAGGAUCUUCUCCAUCUGCUUGCUGGGACAAAAUAUACAAAAGGAUAAAGAAAUUGCAAUAUAGUGAUUCCAAUGGUUUUAGUGCAGAAGGUGCUGUGGACAGAUUUUAUAAAUCUGGUUCUGAUAUGUUUGGUUUUUCUAAUCCUGAGGUUAUAAAACUUAUAAAGGGAUUAUCAAAACCCAGACUUUAUUCCAAAAUGUCUUUUUGCAAAGUAACUUCAGAAAAAUUUCAGGACUUACCUAUUGGUUACAGACCUGUCCGAGUUGAUUGGAAAGAUUUGGACAAGUGCAAUGUCUGCCAUAUGGAUGAGGAAUAUGAAAACAAUCUGUUCCUGCAGUGUGAUAAAUGCCGAAUGAUGGUCCAUGCCAGAUGUUAUGGAGAAUUAGAACCUAUAGAUGGUGUAUUAUGGUUGUGCAACUUAUGCCGUCCUGCCGCCCCUGACCCUACACCACCCUGUUGCCUUUGUCCUAUAAUAGGUGGUGCUAUGAAGCCUACAACUGAUGGGCGUUGGGCGCAUUUGGCUUGUGCCAUAUGGAUACCGGAAACUUGCUUGUCUGAUAUCAAGAGGAUGGAACCUAUUGAUGGGCUGAAUAGAAUAAACAAGGAUCGCUGGAAGCUUUUAUGUAGCAUUUGUGGCGUAGCUUAUGGAGCUUGCAUCCAAUGUUCAAAUAAUACUUGCCGGGUGGCAUAUCAUCCUCUAUGUGCACGCGCAGCUGCCCUGUGUGUGGAGCUUGCUGAUGAGGAAAGACUCCAUCUCCUUACUGUUGAUGAUGAUUUAGAAAAUCAGUGCAUUCGCCUACUUUCCUUCUGCAAGAGGCACAAGCAGCCAUCCAAUGAACGCCCAGUUACAGAAGAUCGAAUUGGCCGGAUUACUCAUCGAUAUUCUGAUUAUACCCCCCCUUGUAAUCCUUCUGGCUGUGCUCGCAGUGAGCCCUACAAUUAUUUUGGAAGAAGAGGACAGAAAGAACCUCAAGCCCUUGCUGCAGCAUCCUUGAAGCGCUUAUUUGUUGAGAAUCAACCUUACUUGGUUGGUGGUUUCAGUCAACAUCAAUCAUCAAGAGUUGCAUUAACCUCAAAUGGAGUUGACAGCUCUAAAUUCUCUUUUGAUCUGCAAAGGCUGAAGGCUUCUCAGCUUGACGCUCCUAACAACAUUCUCUCUAUGGCUGAGAAGUACAAAUACAUGCGACAGACCUUCCGGAAGAGACUAGCUUUUGGAAAAUCGGGAAUACAUGGAUUUGGUAUCUUUGCAAAGCAUCCACAUAGGGCUGGAGAUAUGGUAAUCGAAUACACUGGGGAACUUGUUAGGCCACCUAUAGCUGACAGAAGGGAACACUUCAUAUACAAUUCAUUAGUGGGUGCUGGGACUUACAUGUUUCGCAUUGAUGAUAAUAGUGUUAUUGAUGCCACAAGGGCCGGAAGCAUAGCUCAUCUGAUUAAUCACUCAUGCGAGCCCAAUUGCCAUUCGAGAGUAAUAAACGUUAAUGGUGAGCAACAUAUAAUUAUAUUUGCAAAGAGAGAUAUCAAAAGAUGGCAGGAGCUCACUUAUGAUUAUAGAUUUUUCUCAAUUGAUGAACGACUGGCAUGCUAUUGUGGCUUCCCUAGAUGCCGUGGUGUGGUUAAUGACACUGAAGCAGAGGAGCAAGUGGCAAAGGUCUAUGCCCUUCGAAGUGAAUUGACAGACUGCAAAGAAGAAUAAAAGAACUAUUGCGAAGUCCAAAUGAUUCAGUGACCCCUUCUUUCCUAGUUUCGGUUCAAAUUUGUAUGUCUCUUAUGCAGGCAAAUGAGAAGUUUUGCAGACUCGGAAAUUUGUUAAGGUUUCAUAAAUUCUCGGCCAAUACGGGUUCAGACACGACGGACAAUAUUGUCAAAAGAUUGAGACCUAGAUGCGGAGGAGACAAUGCAAAUUAACUAUAUAUGAAUAAGAAAUCACCAGGGCGUAUGUGAGUUGGUAAGAGAGUCUUUUAAGUGAAGACAUGGGUUCAAACCAUAUUCAUGUAUGCAGCAGUUUAAAAUUUAGGAAUAGAGUUUUGCCUUCCUUAAGAGAUCUGGAAAUGAGUCUGGAUGUGGAAGGUUUAUAAGUAUGGCUCCAUAGUUGGACCCUGGAAUACGAGAAAUUCAUGGAAUUAAAGAGUAAUUAUUAAGUGGUUUUUUUCUUUGUGCUUAAAUUGAAGAGAGGUAAUAUAGUAGAAUAGGAUUGGAGAACGGGUUGUAUUUUUGUUUUAAAAAUGAGGGGGUUGUGUUGAUGCUUAAAGAAAAAACAUAAAAAAAGAGCCUUUGGUUUUUGUUCAGAAAAAAAAAAACCAUAACCGUUUAAAAAAUUACUUGUCGUGUCCUCUGAAGGGUACCCGGCGUGUCCUCUGACAUGUACCAUGAAUGCUUAUUGUUCCGUGUCCCAGCGAGUUUCCGGUUCGUCCCCAUAAUCCAUGCAUUUCGAGAAAUAUGAGUGGUUCAUAGUUCAAUCAUGGCUGGCUUAAUCCUUUCAAUUUCAUCCCAUACUUUCCAGGGUAUCAUAAUACUUCCCAACUCUAAUUGAUUUAGAUAAUAAUUGUUACUUGUGAAUGCAAGUACUAACUGCUAACGACAUUUCAAAUUUGUGGGAUAAGAACAUUCAUCUUUAUAGGUGAUAUGUUGAAUGGAAACUCGUGGAGUCUUAUGUUUUGACGUUUUGUUUAUUUUUUUGUAAAUAUUUUUGAAACUUUAUAUUUAUAUCGUAUUCUUGUGAAAAAUAUUGUUUUUCGAUUUUCUAUGUUGGCAUGUUUGGUAUGAAUGGUGAAUAGGUUGUGCAGUAUAAGAAUGCAGUUUGUAAAGAAAGUGGAAAAAGGCAGUUAGCUUUUACUGGUUGCAGUAUAUAGUAACCGGAUAUAAAUCCUUAGGCAUAAUUCAUUACUGAUCACAUUGCUAGUCUUUUCUUAAUUGGAAAUAGGAAGUGUUUUUUGCUAUAUUCAUUUACUUAUUUGUAGAGUUUGAGCCUUUCUUAGGUGUUCAAUUUUUUAGAGUUAGUGUUUGAGAAAUGUUUAAUGCUGUAUGUUUCAUGAAAUAGAAUUGUUGAGCGGAAACUUGUGGAGUCGACUGUUUCGACAUGUGACAGGAAAUGUUUCCAAAAAAUGUCAUUUAUCUGUUCUCUAUUUCUUGCAAUCUCGAUUUCAGGGAGCGAUAUAAUAUGUAAGGCCCUGACCUGGUUCUGCUUGGGAGUCCUGCGUGCAGUAUCGAAGUUUUGUAGCCGAUAACUUAUUUGGAAAUUCAUCUUAUGUAGGCGGAUGGUGAUGAUAUAAAAGGAGAAAUGUUGUAUUAUGUAGGAGGAGCAAAACAGGCAUGGCGUCCUUCACUCAUCGCCAAUUUUGUGCCUCUCUCUUUUUCUUUACAAUAUUUUUUUUAAAAUUAAAAUAGCUGUCUAAUUCGCUUCGCAAUUUAAUCAACUGCUAGGAUCAAUGUCUGCAUGUUUCACCAAUUUAACUGCUUCAAACCUUAUUCAGCCUCAUCAAAUAAUCGCUGAUAUCCCAUUACAAUUCCCGUCUUUGUUUCUCAAAGAGACCAGUAACUAGUUUUUAGUUGAACCAAUCCCAUUUUUUUAAAUUAUUCACAAGGCUGUGCCUUCUUCUGUAUACUAAAUUUUCAUUAUGUGGAUGUUUUUUUUU